rnacentral:tRNA from 1 species
GUGUGGUGAGCUAGUCUGGUGAUAGCGCGGGGCUGAAAAUCCCGAGAAUACGGUUCGAUCCCGUAACCACACACCA